UCCGGUUGAUCCUGCCGGACCCGACUGCUAUUUGGGUGAGGAUAAGCCAUGCGAGUUGAAUGGGAUACCUAAAGUUCCCAUGGCAAACUGCUCAGUAACACAUGAUCAACUUGCCCUAUAGAGAAAAAUAACCUCGGGAAACUGAGGAUAAUGUUUCAUAACUGAAUUGGCUUGGAAAAGUUUUUCAGUGAAAGGGAUAAAAUAAAUGGUUUUUAUCUGCUAUAGGAUAGGAUCGUGUUCGAUUAUGGUUGUUGGUGAGGUAAUGGCUCACCAAGCCGAUAAUCGAUAGGGGCCGUGAGAGCGGGAGCCCCGAGAUGGGUACUGAGACAACGACCCAGGCCUUACGAGGCGCAGCAGGCGCGAAACCUCCGCAAUACGCGAAAGUGUGACGGGGUUACCCAAAGUGUUCAAUUUUGAACUGUGGUAGGUGAGUAAUGUUCCCUACUAGAAAGGAGAGGGCAAGGCUGGUGCCAGCCGCCGCGGUAAAACCAGCUCUUCAAGUGGUCGGGAUAAUUAUUGGGCUUAAAGUGUCCGUAGCCGGUUUAGUAAGUUCCUGGUAAAAUCGGGUAGCUUAACUAUCUAUAUGCUAGGAAUACUACUAUACUAGAGGGCGGGAGAGGUCUGAGGUACUACAGGGGUAGGGGUGAAAUCUUAUAAUCCUUGUAGGACCACCAGUGGCGAAGGCGUCAGACUGGAACGCGCCUGACGGUGAGGGACGAAAGCCAGGGGAGCGAACCGGAUUAGAUACCCCCGUAGUCC
rnacentral:rRNA from 1 species